CGAUAAUAUGAUGGGAAGUUUUCGGUAAAGAACGGCCAAGGCAGGGAGGGCAAAUUUGGUUCCGUUAGAACACCCGAGGAACUUUAGGAAUUCCAUGAGUAAAAUAAC